UCUUGCGCAAUGGGCGAAAGCCUGACGCAGCAACGCCGCGUGGGGGAUGACGGCCUUCGGGUUGUAAACCCCUUUCGGUCCCGACGAAGGCUCCGGUUUUCCGGGGUGGACGGUAGGGUCAGAAGAAGCACCGGCUAACUACGUGCCAGCAGCCGCGGUAAUACGUAGGGUGCAAGCGUUGUCCGGAAUUAUUGGGCGUAAAGAGCUCGUAGGCGGUUUGUCGCGUCGGCCGUGGAACCCUUGCGCUCAACGCGAGGCGUGCGGUCGAUACGGGCAGACUUGAGUUCGGCAGGGGAGACUGGAAUUCCUGGUGUAGCGGUGAAAUGCGCAGAUAUCAGGAGGAACACCGGUGGCGAAGGCGGGUCUCUGGGCCGAUACUGACGCUGAGGAGCGAAAGCGUGGGGAGCGAACAG
rnacentral:rRNA from 1 species